rnacentral:rRNA from 1 species
GACGAACGCUGGCGGCGUGCUUAACACAUGCAAGUCGAACGACGUGGCGAACGGGUGUGUAACGCGUAAUCAACCUGCCCUUCAGAGGGGGACAACAGUUGGAAACGACUGCUAAUACCGCAUACUGAAGGAGGGGAUUGCGUCUGAUUAGCUAGGUGGAGGGGUAACGGCCCACCAAGGCGAUGAUCAGUAGCCGGGCUGGGAGGAGGAACGGCCACAUUGGGACUGAGACACGUCUCAGACUCCUACGGGAGGCAGCAGGGGGGAAGCUUCCGCAAUGGACGAAAGUCGGACGAAGCAACGCCGCGUGGGUGAUGACGGCCUUCGGGUUGUAAAGCUCUGUUAAUCGGGACGCGGUACCGGAAUAGAAAGCCACGGCUAACUACGUGCCAGCAGCCGCGGUAAUAC